rnacentral:lncRNA from 1 species
AUGGCAGCUUCCACCUCGCCGUGCUGCUGGCAGGACCGGCGCCUCGUGGCACCCUGGGCACUCCCACGCAGUGAUCUUUUUCCUCCGGGUGAGACAGCAGGAAGAGAGGUCUUGUCACUGCUGCCGCAGUGUAUCACGGCUGUGCUCUUUGUAGAAGAACUGAGGGUAGGCAGAAGCCAAAGGGCAGCGAUCCCACCCAAGCUCCCUCUGCUCCUGCAGGGCCUGAGAGGACCCCACAGCACAUCAGUGGUGUGCCUGUCCCCAGGCGGAGUAAACAGGAGAGGCUGAGUUGAGUUGCAGGCAUGUUUGGCGGAUACAUGCUUCCCCUGUGCCCUUGUUGACAGCCGCUGGAUGGAGAGAGGCAGCCGGUGUCAUGCUGAACUUCAGUCUCCCAGCGAUGUGUGUGCUUCCAUGGCAGAAUGGAUCAGUGAAAAAGAAAUAAGAGCUCUGAGGUCAGGACUGCACACUUUGGGGCUGAGGCUUUGCUGCAGCAGGGUACUGCGGUGCUCUUGGAAGAGAAGUAUGGGUUGGGCUGAUAGUGGACACAAUGGUCCUCAUAACUCCUAAGUUGUCAGCAUGUAGUGAUUUGGGAUCUGUACUGCCAUUCAGGUGAGAAAAUCUUCUUGAGGUGCCCACUGGCCUCAACCUGAUGAUCUGGAAGUGAAAUGAAAUCAGACCAAGGAACAGCUGAUGUAUUUUCCUUGGUUUUAUUCCCAGUACCGCAGGUCGCACUGGUUUAGCAAUUUUUUGUAGGAGUGGAUUGCACAGAGGGAAUGUAAGGCUUAAUUAGUUUGCAAAGUGCUUGGAGAUCUUUGAGGAAAGGCAAAAUAGAUGCAGAAAGUUACCUUUCCUCCUCCUCAGAGGCUGUGUUUCAGUAAUGGAUGAAGUGACCCCUAAAAUAUAAUACUAAUUCUGCAGAGCACUUGGGAGUUGUUCUGAAUCAAAGGUGCUAUGCAAAUGCAUCCUCACUUUCCUUUACCAGUCCCCGUGAGCCAGCCAGUCCACCAUUAGUGGCGAUUCUCAUUUAAUCAGAAUUCAGCCUUCAAAUUUUCUGCAAGUCCAUAGAUAAAUAAAGCAGCAGCCGUGGUUGAUCA